UUCGAUGCUGUUCUCAGAGCAAAGGAAGUGUUUUGGGUGGAGGUGGACUGGACAAGAGCUGGCCCACUUACAGAAAUGAGAUCAGAGUCGACUACGUGUGGUUCUAAGAAAAUGCUACUCGGAGAAACCGACCAGGAGGAUAGGAGCUCCAGGCAGCAUGCCUACAUUUAGGAUGGGAGAGAGGCAAUGACUUGUAUUCCUUGAAGAGAAGAACAAAGGCUUCCUUGCAGUCCUCCAGUAGUCUUACAUCACAGUGUCCAAAGCUGAGUCAAUGGACUGAAGUAGAGGGAAAGAAAGCUGCAUCCUUUCCAGCCUUUGCAGUGAGGAUGUCAACGGGGAAAACUGGAAAUGCUGUUGCCCGUGCUAGCCAACCUGCCCACACUGACUGGGGAUCAAAUGGAUGUUGCUGGAAAGCAGCGUUUACUGGAUGUUUACAAUGGAGAAAUGGUACAGAAG
rnacentral:lncRNA from 1 species